AUUGAACGCUGGCGGAAUGCUUUACACAUGCAAGUCGAACGGCAGCACGGACUUCGGUCUGGUGGCGAGUGGCGAACGGGUGAGUAAUACAUCGGAACGUGCCCAGUCGUGGGGGAUAACGUAGCGAAAGCUACGCUAAUACCGCAUACGAUCUACGGAUGAAAGCGGGGGAUCGCAAGACCUCGCGCGAUUGGAGCGGCCGAUGGCAGAUUAGAUAGUUGGGGGGGUAAAGGCGCACCAAGCCGACGAUCUGUAGCUGGUCGGAGAGGGCGACCAGCCACACUGGGACUGAGACACGGCCCAGACUCCUACGGGAGGCAGCAGUGGGGAAUUUUGGACAAUGGGCGCAAGCCUGAUCCAGCCAUUCCGCGUGCAGGAUGAAGUCCCUCGGGUUGUAAACUGCUUUUGUACGGAACGAAAAGGCUCUGGUUAAUACCCGGGGCUCAUGACGGUACCGUAAGAAUAAGCACCGGCUAACUACGUGCCAGCAGCCGCCGUAA
rnacentral:rRNA from 1 species